UACGGGGGGGGCAAGCGUUGUUCGGAAUUACUGGGCGUAAAGGGUUCGUAGGCGGCCAACUAAGUCAUACGUGAAAUCCCUCGGCUUAACCGGGGAACUGCGUCUGAUACUGGAUGGCUUGAGUUCGGGAGAGGGAUGCGGAAUUCCAGGUGUAGCGGUGAAAUGCGUAGAUAUCGAGAGGAACACCUGCGGCGAAGGCGGGUUGCUGGGCUGACACUGACGCUGACAGCGCGAAAGCUAGGGGAGCGAACGGG
rnacentral:rRNA from 1 species